UGGAACGAACACAUACCAAACUUAGCAUUAAGAAAACAACAGAAUAGACAUCAAAGUGGAAGCCCCUAGCCAACACAAAACUGGGAGGUCUAAGUAGAGAACUUCUAAAUGCUUGAAAUUUUGUGUAGACUUAUAAGAAGGAAAAGGUACAUUCUAUUAAAUAAUUCCCUCGGGUGUUUUAUUUUCAAGAGUCUCUUAUGUUUUCAUAUUUCUAUUGUGCAAACCCAACAUUAGAUGUGAAAACAUAAGCGAAAUGAAAACAUUAUUAAAAAUUAUUAGACAUGUUUAAUAAAUGUUUUGGAACAUAAUAAUCAUACCUAUCAUUUAAAAGUGCACGUAUUCAACCAAACCUUACCCCGAUGAGAUCUCGGCAUCUAAUUACCCAUUGGCGGACCUGGGCUUGUGCCUGGUGGGUCAAGUGACUCACCAGGGCCCAAAAAAAAUUCUAAGUUUUCUUUUUUUUUAAAAAAAAAAAAAAUAAAAAUAAAAAAUAAAAAAUUCUAACUUCAGCCUGUUCCCCUUUCACCUUCUCCUCGCCGCAGCUGCAACAACAUUUCGCGUUCCCCUUUCAUUCUCCCUCCUCAUUCACUAAUGGUCAUGGUGGUCGUGAGAGAUAACGACUGUGUGGUUUGAUUUCUAGGAUUUUUUUUGGUGUUCAUGGGUUUCGAUUUGUAACUGUUGGUGGUGGUGGAGAGCAGCGAUGGUGAGGUUCGAUUUGUGCAUAUAGAUAUGCAAAGUAGCUAGAAUUUUGAAUGUGUUUGGCUUCAUGUGUGUUUUUCAUUUGCUAAUUGCCUAAUUUAAUUUACGAUUUGGGGAUUUUUGAUGUAGGUUUUCUGUAUUUGAUUUAAUUAUGUCAUUUUUGUUUAAAUUUGUGUUUUGUGCCAGUUUUUGCUCGGAAAGUUGAAGGGGUUUUGUUAUCUACUAAUGGGUAGUCAGGAUUAGCUGAUUUUUGUGUGAAUAAGGAUUGUUUUGAAGUUUAAUUAGCUUAAUUUAUGUGGAAUUUGUGCUCAAAUAAAGUACUUGCUAUGAGCUAUCUGUAUAAUCAUUUUGUUUGCUUAAACUAAACAAUUUCGUCUAAAAAAGUAGAAAUUGAAGAUUGGUUUUGAGUCUUUUGACUGUGUUUAGUUAUAGUUUUGUCUAAUUGUCUUCAUUAUAAUUUUUAAGUCCCAAAUGAUUUAUUUUAAUAUGAUUAGCCGAUUAGAAACUGAAGAUUGGUUUUAAUUAGCCGAUUUGGGAAUUUUUCCUCUAGAAACUGAAGUUGUGACCGGAUAUUUGAGCUAUCUGAGUUGCCUGUGCAUAGGUAUUCUUUUGAGAGGUGGUUUCAUUACAUUUUGGUUUCUUUAUGAUCUCGCAGAUGUAAUUUGGACUACAAAUUUUGAAUCCCUGACAAAUAAGACUUUGAAUUUAUGAAAUUAUUAUUAAUAAAUUUAGACAGUUUACCCGUAAUUUGAUCUAGAUUGUUUGUGUGGGUGAUAGCUGUUUUGCCUCUGCUUUGAUUAUGGCGUAUAGAUUCCAAGAGCUUAUUGAUUAUUUGUUCUAAAUUGAUCUGUUACAUAUUAGCUGUAUGUUUUGCCUAAUUGUAUUUUAAGAGAACAACUUCUAUUUCCACUGUUUUUGGAGUUUAUUUGUCCCCGGUUUAAAUUUGUGUUUUUUCCGGGUUACAGGCUUGCUGAUUGCAUUGCUUGUGGGUCUGCUGUUGCAGAGUUGCUUGUUCUGUUGGGGUUAGGAGAUCUGUGAAGGUAUCUCUUUUGUUUCUGGCAUGUACUUUUUUUGUAUAUACUUCUUACCGAGCUUUAUGAGUUCAUGAUGUCGCUUAGCUAUCUGGAAUUGUGCUUUUGUUUCUGGGGAAUAUUGCUUGAUUUAGUUGAAUAUUGCUUGAUUUAGUUGAAUAUGAACCGUCCAACCAAUUAUGAAUAGGGGUAAUUCGCUGUUGGGGUUAUUUGCAUAUGAUUCAUACUUGUGAUUUCAUUUGUUUUGUUAACUUUGUGUUUGAUUAGGUUGUUGAAUUUAUAUGCAGGGAAGACUCAGCUUAUCAAUCAUUUUCUAAUCAACAAGAGUUGGUAUAUUGUUAAUUUGCCUGGAUAUGGGUGAGUCUCUGUAAUUUUGGUUUUAAUUUGGGCAAUUUCUGUAAUUCUUGAGUCUAUUUCAUGCUGGGAAUAUUGUAUACUUGUAUUGUGAAUCAAUUGUUAUUCGUGUUUAUUCCUGAUCAUAUGCUUGAAUCAUAUUGAAGUGCCAAAAAAGGAUUGCUUUUACGCCUUGAGGCAUUGCUUCAAAAUUAUUGAUCAUCCUGUAAAACAUGUUGCGGACUGAUAUGUAUUUAGGCUACAUCCGUUGUAGUUAAUUGGUCUCCAAUCGUGUUGUUUAUUUUCAAGUUUAGGAAGUAAAUGUCUCCUUACAUGU